GACGAACGCUGGCGGCGUGCUUAACACAUGCAAGUCGAACGGAAAGGCCCUGCUUUUGUGGGGUGCUCGAGUGGCGAACGGGUGAGUAACACGUGAGUAACCUGCCCUUGACUUUGGGAUAACUUCAGGAAACUGGGGCUAAUACCGGAUAGGAGCUCCUGCUGCAUGGUGGGGGUUGGAAAGUUUCGGCGGUUGGGGAUGGACUCGCGACUUAUCAGCUUGUUGGUGGGGUAGUGGCUUACCAAGGCUUUGACGGGUAACCGGCCUGAGAGGGUGACCGGCCACAUUGGGACUGAGAUACGGCCCAGACUCCUACGGGAGGCAGCAGUGGGGAAUAUUGCACAAUGGGCGGAAGCCUGAUGCAGCAACGCCGCGUGCGGGAUGACGGCCUUCGGGUUGUAAACCGCUUUCGCCUGUGACGAAGCGUGAGUGACGGUAAUGGGUAAAGAAGCACCGGCUAACUACGUG
rnacentral:rRNA from 1 species